UACGUAGGGUGCGAGCGUUAAUCGGAAUUACUGGGCGUAAAGUGUGCGCAGGCGGCAGAGCAAGUCGAGUGUGAAAGCCCCGGGCUUAACUUGGGAAUUGCGCUCGAAACUACCUUGCUGGAGUGUGGCAGAGGAAGGUGGAAUUCCACGUGUAGCGGUGAAAUGCGUAGAGAUGUGGAGGAACACCAAUGGCGAAGGCAGCCUUCUGGGCCAACACUGACGCUCAUGCACGAAAGCGUGGGGAGCAAACAGG
rnacentral:rRNA from 1 species